CUUCUCCAAUACCAACACUGAUUCGACACCUAUUGUUCCAGACGGCUCCGACACCGACGGUGCCUGACCACGCUACCAUGGCGUUCCCUCAUAAAAAGACUCCAGAUCCUCGAAUCCCUCGAGCGAAAUCGAAACCCCAACUCCAAGUUCCGCCAGAAGUUUAGGACUCAAGUCCCUCGAUUCUCGUCCCGCCGGAAGUUUUGGCCAAGAUGCCUCGAGCGAAAUCGAAUUCGAAACCAGCUCGCUCCAAGUCCCGCCGGAAGCUCCACCCAAGAUGGACACUAACAUUGCCUAUCUUACGCCUCAGCUCGAUGUUGUCGUCUAGCUCAAAGUCCCGCCGGAAUUUCUGCCCAAGAUGGACAUUGCCAUAGCCGAACUUCCGCCUCAGCUCGAUGUUGCCGUCGUCUCGCCACUUCCAUCUGCACCGCUUUGUGUGGAAUCGCCUUCAACUGCGACACUACCAGAUACGAUACGGUAAUUAGUAGUUCUGCUGAUGUGUGCUGGUAUGAAUUCCUCCUUUUCCAGUCCUCUGAAUUGCUCUGUUUCCCUUUGUCUAAAUUGCUUUGAUUUCAGCCCAAAAUACUGGAAAUUUAGAACCCCGUGGUCUGAAUUGCUCUGUUUUCCGCUAGAACUGUUCAUAAUUUAUUCGCUUUUCCCGGUGGUCUGAAUUUCUCGGUUUUGUUGUUUUCCGCUUGAACUGUUCGUAAUAAGUGCUGGAGUUAACUGCUCGUAAUUUAUUUGCUGAGAGUUACAGAAAGAGCGAGAUAAGAUUGGUAUGAGGUAGUAUACUGAAUUUUAAGCUAGCCAAGCUUAAUUUGUAGCACGUCAAUUAUUGUACUGGCUGGGAAGAGAAAAAUAAGAUUUGCAUGAUGUAAAAUUAUUAUACUAGCUUUCUUUCUGGCACGUCAAAUUACUGUCCUGGUUCGCUACCUUAUAAUUAGUACGGCAUAUGUAAUGGUAAAUUUUUAUUUUUGCUUAUGUUUGCAGAAAAUGGAUCACAACAGUGAAGCAUCCACUCUUGAGUAAUUUGAUAACCGUCCUGUAAAAAGAGCAAAAACAUUGGAAUCUUGUGUUAUGGAUGAUCAAUUGCCAUCACCUAUCAUCUCCACAACAUCUCUGAUUUCAGAAUGUUCUGAAUCGACUGGUUCAGUAAAAGAAGAUGAUAAAAAAAUGGCGUGUUAAUAAAUAAUGUAAAAUAUAGGACUAUCUACCACAAGGUCACCGUCAUGUUAAGAAACCAGGGCGAACUAUCCACGAUAAGCAUCGAUGAUACCUCCAUCAGUUAUUGGGACGAUGUAGCAGCUUACAAAAUAGGGUUGUCAGAAAAGAUCCAAACUACUAACCACUUUUCUCUUGGUGUUUGAUGCCCCACAAUAUUUUUGCGUUGAUGCCUUGCGGGUACUGCUAUUGAAAAUUUAAUUGACAUGUUCGGGUUCCAUACGGGCAAAAGUUCUAGAGUGUGGUUUCUCUGGAUUGAAAGUAGUGAUGCUUUGUGCAGUUUGCAUGAACGCAAGCAUUCGCCUUGA